UAAUCCCUGCCCCGGCCCUGGUGUUGUAUUUGGAAAGAACCAACACCAUGAAAAAGGGAGUUUGACUCUAGGCGUCUAUUGCAGGCCUUCCUUGCAGAAGGAAGCAUGAUCCGUUUAGGCAGACACCCACCGUGUUCAUAACGGUUCUUUUUCAAAGCCACCAGGCGGCGCAGGGAUUUU
rnacentral:other from 1 species